rnacentral:tRNA from 1 species
GCCCCCGUAGCUCAGUGGUAGAGCGCAAUCUUGGUAAGAUUGAGGUCACGGGUCCGAUUCCCGUCGGGGGCUC